CUCCUAAACCAUGUCACUGGCGCCACCUCUUAUGAGGACCUAAGGACAGUUAAUGGUGAGAUCCUACCAACCUUUCGUGAAGCUGCCGAGAGAAGGGGAUUGAUCGAAGGAGACAACACACUGGAUGAGUCCCUCACUGAAUCCACAUUAUAUGAGAUGCCAUCAUCUCUACGGAGGCUCUUUGCAACGAUACUGGUUUUUUGUGAGCCAAGCGAUGUGCGCGGACUCUGGGAAAAGCACCUGGAUGCAAUGUCAGAAGACUAUCGUCGUAGCAAUCCAUCCAAAGUUGCAGUUGAGCAAUUGGUUCUAAUAGAUAUCAGGAAUAUGCUACAAUCAAUG
rnacentral:rRNA from 1 species